rnacentral:rRNA from 1 species
UACGGAGGGAGCUAGCGUUGUUCGGAUAUACUGGGCGUCAAGCGCACGUAGGCGGCGCCGUAAGUCAGGGGUGAAAUCCCGGAGCUCAACUCCGGAACUGCCCUUGAAACUGCAGUGCUAGAAUCCUGGAGAGGCGAGUGGAGUUCCGAGUGUAGAGGUGAAAUUCGUAGAUAUUCGGAAGAACACCAGUGGCGAAGGCGACUCGCUGGACAGGUAUUGACGCUGAGGUGCGAAAGCGUGGGGAGCAAACAGG